CCCACUCAAUUCAAAACUAUUUCACCAAACAAAUUUUCCACACUCAAAUCAUAAUUCCAAAACUCACAAACUCAAAAUACAACUCAUACUCACAAAUCAUAUUAACGAAACUCUACCAAACGCAACUGUAAUGUUAUAAAACUCAAAAUUCCAUUUUAUUUUGAUAUUUUUUAAUUUGAUAAUCUAUUUUUUAGGAUUUUAGUGGUGGGAGGUGUCUGGUUGAUAUGUUGUGUGGCCCAAAGUAGUAAUUUUUUGGUUGAGAAUUUUGAAUUCAAUUUUUGAAUAUGUUAUUUUGCGGGUAAUGUUAAAACGUCAUUUGUGGAUAUGUUAUUUUGUAAGUAAUGGUGAUUGGAUAUUAAAUUGAAUGGGAAAGUGAAUUAAUGCUGCAUUUGCUAUUUGAAUAGGAUUUAUUAUUUCAUAUUAGUGUUAUUCAUUCACAUAAAAUUAGCACAAUUAAAAAAAGAAAAAAAGAAGAAGAUAUCAAAGCUUUUCUCAAAACGCCACCUAAACCUUAAAUCUGAUGGUUAGAUUUUUAAAUAAAAAGAUAUGACGGCAUUUCAAAAACGUCGCUAAAUAUUAUAGUGAUGUCAUAGUACCAUUAGGGGAGGACAUUUGGCAGCAUUUUUAAAAAUGCCGCCCAUACUAAUAUAACAACGUAUUUUAAAUGCCAUAAAGCUAUAGUGAGGGUCGUGUUGUCGGUGUUUGGUACUAAACGUCACAAAAAGAAUUAGUGACGUUUUUAGUACCUAUAGCAGCAUUUUUUAAACGCCGUUAAAAGUGCAUUUUCCAGUAGUGCCGAUUGAUUUGUACAAGGAGGUAAACCUCAUAGUGACAAUAACUUCUUGCUCUUGUGCAUAUUGAUUGUUUAAUAUGUAUUUUUUGUUUUUUAUUGUUUGGAUCUAGUUAGACUCUUGGUGCAUGGUUUGAUUUGUCUUCACUAUUGAUUUUUAGACUGACUUUCUAAUUUCUUUCUCUAAUGGUUAUUUUGAGCCAAUAAAGUGAAUUCAUUAUUGGAUUUGAGUUGAUCUUUCAGACUUCACUAUCUCUAAACUGCUUUUGGUAAUGAUUGGUUGAAAAACACGUCUUUCCCUUUGCCUCAUGCUGCCAGUUCUUGUUACUCUUCAUCAGGCAGUUAUCCCUUAUUUGUCAAACCCAAUCAUGUUAUGUGAUUUUCUGACGAGAUCAUAUGAGAUUGGAGGUGUUAUCAGUGUCAUGGCUCUUAGCAGAUUGAGAAUGGUGAUGGAACUUCUAGAGAUAAUUCUAGAGUGGUGGAUGGUGAAACCGAGGACUCCUGUACCAAACCAGAAAUAUCUAGUAAAAAAUCAGGCAUUGAUCAUUUCAACAUGAGGGAAGUAAUCCUGUAAAAACUGAUGCAAUGACAUUUUAUGUCUUUCAGAAGAAAAAAAUGCCCAACAAUUGGCAACAUGUGUACAGGAAGUUCUCUUUGGGAGAUUGAUACCCUCCGUCACCACUACCACCCACCUGUUUCAAGAUUUGUUUUGUCGCUUGAGAAUGAUUUGACAGUAAGAAGCAAAACGACUGAAGUUGCAGUUAAAGAUUUCAGUUCUGGUUCAUAUGCAACAAUAUUUAGAGCGGAGAUUGGACGAAGGGUAAAACAGGUACCACUUGCAUUCU